UAGCUAAUCCUGGUCGGACAUCAGGAGGUUAGUGCAAUGGCAUAAGCUAGCUUGACUGCGAGCGUGACGGCGCGAGCAGGUGCGAAAGCAGGUCAUAGUGAUCCGGUGGUUCUGAAUGGAAGGGCCAUCGCUCAACGGAUAAAAGGUACUCCGGGGAUAACAGGCUGAUACCGCCCAAGAGUUCAUAUCGACGGCGGUGUUUGGCACCUCGAUGUCGGCUCAUCACAUCCUGGGGCUGAAGUAGGUCCCAAGGGUAUGGCUGUUCGCCAUUUAAAGUGGUACGCGAGCUGGGUUUAGAACGUCGUGAGACAGUUCGGUCCCUAUCUGCCGUGGGCGCUGGAGAAUUGAGGGGGGCUGCUCCUAGUACGAGAGGACCGGAGUGGACGCAUCACUGGUGUUCGGGUUGUCAUGCCAAUGGCACUGCCCGGUAGCUAAAUGCGGAAGAGAUAAGUGC
rnacentral:rRNA from 1 species